CAAGACAGCCAUCUCCCAAGUUCUGUUCCAGUACUAUAACUGGAAGGGCACACUAGCUAUUUGUGCCAACACGUACCCCUGAGAUUCCCCUCCUUUUUUCAACUUCUUGCUUCCUUUCAUCCCAAGCACGUUAGGCCUCAAAUGUUCAUCUUCUAUUUGUGCAAAAGGGAAGCUGAAUAUUGUCCUUUGUGGGUUGUCUCCUUAGCUCCUUCCUUUGAAAAGAAAACCACAAGUGGUUUAACCAGAAUCGGAAAGAGGAAGUGAAAGUUUCACAAAACAAUUCUCUCUUUUCCAGCCCUACAGAGCAGUGUUUUCUAACUAAGAACUAGAGACACCGAGGAGCUGCUUAACCGCUGCAGAUGAAACACAGCACACUCUGAGCGUACACAGAUUGAACGUGGACAGGCUGCCUUCUUAUCAUGAUCACGGCAUCAUCAUUUGUUAUCUUACUGGCAUUCAUUACAAAGGGGACUCAUGCAGACUCUGUUUCCCAAACGGAAGAUCUGGUUACGGUCCGAGAGGGAGAGCCUGUUUUGCUACCUUGCAGCCACAAAAUCUCUGGAGCCCCGAUUCUCUUCUGGUAUGAACAGUCUCCCAACGGAGCCCCUCAGCUUUUGCUCUCCAAUUAUGACAAUGAGGAUGCAGAGACCAAGGAGCGCCGGAGAGGGUUUUCAGCAGCCAACAAAGAGAAAACCUUCAAUUUGACCAAGGGUGCAGCUGAACUGAGAGACUCCGUUGUCUAUUUCUGUGCCGUGAGAGACACAGUGAAGAGAAUGACAAAGAAGGCAUGACUAAAACCCACCCAGUGGCAGAAUGGAGCUAUGCAAAGAUAUAACAGGAUACCUCUAAAAAUCU